rnacentral:lncRNA from 13 species
UUCCCUUUAAUUUGGGUGGGCUUGUGACUGUUUCAAACAAUAGAGUACAGCAAAAGUGAUGUGUGACUUUUGUGGCUGGAUCAAAACAGGUGAUGCGUCUUCUGUGUUGAUUCCUUUAAUAGUCACAAUUGGAGCCCUGAACUGCGAUGUCAGAAGUCUUUCUACUCUUAGGCCACCAGACUAUGAAGAACAGCAGUCUUGGUGUUCCUGUUAUCCCAGCCCAGGGGCCAGACAUAUAAAAGGAAUUAAGUACAGUGCACAUGAUGGAAGUUCAGUACAUAUUUGAGUAUCUUUUUUAACAGCUUUUUUAUUCACAUGAUAGAUGCACCAAAAUAGAGCCAAAAAUGAAAAGGUGAGGCUUACA